AGAGUUUGAUUCUGGCUCAGAUUGAACGCUGGCGGCAUGCCUUACACAUGCAAGUCGAACGGCAGCACGGGAGCAAUCCUGGUGGCGAGUGGCGAACGGGUGAGUAAUGUAUCGGAACGUACCUUUCAGUGGGGGAUAACGUAGCGAAAGUUACGCUAAUACCGCAUAUUCUGUGAGCAGGAAAGCAGGGGAUCGCAAGACCUUGCGCUGAUUGAGCGGCCGAUAUCAGAUUAGCUAGUUGGUGAGGUAAAGGCUCACCAAGGCGACGAUCUGUAGCGGGUCUGAGAGGAUGAUCCGCCACACUGGAACUGAGACACGGUCCAGACUCCUACGGGAGGCAGCAGUGGGGAAUUUUGGACAAUGGGGGCAACCCUGAUCCAGCCAUGCCGCGUGAGUGAAGAAGGCCUUCGGGUUGUAAAGCUCUUUCAGCCGGGAAGAAAUCACAUGGGUUAAUACCCUGUGUGGAUGACGGUACCGGAAUAAGAAGCACCGGCUAACUACGUGCCAGCAGCCGCGGUAAUUCA
rnacentral:rRNA from 1 species